AGGGUUCGAUUCUGGCUCAGGAUGAACGCUGGCGGCGCGCUAACACAUGCAAGUCGAACGGUUAAAGCACCUUAGGGUGUGCAUAAAGUGGCGAACGGCUGAGUAACACGUGGGCAACCUGCCCCCCGCACCGGGAUAGCCUCGGGAAACCGUGGGUAAUACCGGAUACUCCGCCACCCCCGCAUGGGGGAGGCGGGAAAGCGUACACGGCGGGGGAUGGGGCCCGCGGCCUGUUAGCUCGUUGGCGGGGUAACGGCCCACCAAGGCGAUUAUGGGUAGCCGGGUUGAGAGACCGACCGGCCAAAUUGGGACUGAGACACGGCCCAGACUCCUACGGGAGGCAGCAGUGGGGAAUCUUGCACAAUGGGCGAAAGCCUGAUGCCAGCGACGCCGCGUGCGGGACGAAGGCCCUCGGGUUGCAAACCGCUUUCAGCAGGGACGAGGCGCGAGUGACGGUACCUGCAGAAGAAGCCCCGGCUAACUACGUGCCAGCCGCCGC
rnacentral:rRNA from 1 species